UGGGGAAUAUUGGACAAUGGGCGCAAGCCUGAUCCAGCAAUGCCGCGUGUGUGAAGAAGGUCUUCGGAUUGUAAAGCACUUUCGACGGGGACGAUGAUGACGGUACCUGUAGAAGAAGCCCCGGCUAACUUCGUGCCAGCAGCCGCGGUAAUACGAAGGGGGCUAGCGUUGCUCGGAAUGACUGGGCGUAAAGGGCGCGUAGGCGGUUUAGACAGUCAGAUGUGAAAAUCCGGGGCUCAACCCUGGGACGGCAUUUGAUACGUUUAGACUAGAGUGUGAGAGAGGGUUGUGGAAUUCCCAGUGUAGAGGUGAAAUUCGUAGAUAUUGGGAAGAACACCGGUGGCGAAGGCGGCAACCUGGCUCAUGACUGACGCUGAGGCGCGAAAGCGUGGGGAGCAAA
rnacentral:rRNA from 1 species